GUAGAGGAGGUGGAAUCGGAAGCCAGGAGGCACUGAAUCCUGCCUGGUGGAGACAGUGAAAUGUUCAGAAAACGACAGGAUCCUGAGAAGCCCGUGGAAAGCUGAGAGUGGCGUUCAUUAGUAGCCAGCAGAGGUCAGGGAGCAAAGAUGCAUCAAGGUGGAGCCCUGAUGGUUUGGAGAAAAGUCUGGCCUUGAAUCUGCUCUGCUGGAGAGAUCUCCUGUAAAGACCAUGGGGAGUCAGUGAGAGAUGCUGAGAUACUGUCCCGAUUGCCUGGCCCUGGUCUGUAAUGUCAAAGGGAGGAUCCCAGGACCAUUUCUCGUGUGAUCACCAUCUCGGGGAGGUCCCCAGCUGAGAUGCCCCACAUAGGCCCCACAACUGGUCGUUGUGUUUGAGCCAACACGUCUGGGACUUGUGUCUUAUGCAGCCAUAGAAACUAAAGCGUUUUGUUUGCCUUGCCCCAAACUUCCAGCCACGGAGUCCCCUACCACCCCUGCAACCGCUUCUCUGCUGUAUUUUCUUUGUAAGCAUUUCUCAUACUGACAACACUAUACAGUCCAGGUUCAUUGCUGAGUCCCCACUGUAUACAUUGUUUUGAACAGAAUUUGUUAACUACAAGAAGAAUCAACCCUAAGGUCUGGUCCGUGGUUAGAGCGAGGACACAAAGCAUCAUGGGAUUUAAUUUCCUGUGCAUCUCCUUCCUUACUCCGUCCUUCCCUCCCUUUCUGUGCUAAGCAUGUAC
ensembl:lincRNA Gm42775 predicted gene 42775